UGUGAUCCCAUGAUACUCAUGAUACCAAGC
rnacentral:piRNA from 1 species